rnacentral:rRNA from 1 species
AUUGAACGCUGGCGGCGUGCCUUACACAUGCAAGUCGAACGGUAACGCGGGGCAACCUGGCGACGAGUGGCGAACGGGUGAGUAAUAUAUCGGAACGUGCCCAGUCGUGGGGGAUAACGUAGAGAAAUUUACGCUAAUACCGCACACGAUCUAUGGAUGAAAGCGGGGGAUCGCAAGACCUUGCGCGAUUGGAGCGGCUGAUAUCAGAUUAGGUUGGUGGUGGGGUAAAAGCCCGCCAAGCCGACGAUCUGUAGCUGGUUUGAGAGAACGACCAGCCACACUGGGACUGAGACACGGCCCAGACUCCUACGGGAGGCAGCAGUGGGGAAUUUUGGACAAUGGGCGCAAGCCUGAUCCAGCAAUGCCGCGUGCAGGAAGAAGGCCUUCGGGUUGUAAACUGCUUUUGUACGGAACGAAACAGCUCUUUCUAAUAAAGAGGGCUAAUAACGGUACCGUAAGAAUAAGCACCGGCUAACUACGUGCCAGCAGCCGCCGCAG